rnacentral:hammerhead_ribozyme from 1 species
AUUCAGCUGGAGUCCCAAAUAGGACGAAACUAGCGUCCUAGAU